CCCUCGCGUCACCGGCGCAAUCCCCAUCUAAUCGACCGCAGCAUCUUCCUCUUCGGUGGUGAUCUGUCACGAGGUACCGCCGUUGGCUUGUCAAGCUGUGUCAUGUAAUCUGGGAGGUUCGUCUCUCCGACUCUCAGCGUGUGUUUAAUAAAGCGGGGUUUUUGUUGUCGCAGUAUUUGCAAGGCUUCGCCGUGGCUGUACCUACUAUUUGUUCGUCGAUGUGAAGUAGAGUAGCUGUUUUGGUCACCCCGAGUGCUGUGUAAUAGUAUCGAUCAACUUGACUCCUCUUUUCGGAAAAUGCUCUUUAUGUAAUGCUCCCUCCGAUCUUCUCUUUUCUGAAAAAUGCUUCUUAUGUAAUGUCUUUUUUUAGAAAAAAAACUCCAUCAUGUAUUAAUCAACUUAAAAUGUCCGUACAAUCAUUUAUUACAAACUCCGCCACACAGGGCGGAACAGAAUGAAAAAGAAAAUCAUCAGAUCUAUUAUCAAAACUAAACUUAUCUCGGGAGCCACCAAAUUUGCCCUGUUGAUCUUUGAAAUAUGCAAAUUCAACAGCAUCUUUGAGAUAUUUACAACAUCCUCCUUUAAAUCAACAAGGGAUGACAUGUUCAUACAAUUUCUUCCAAGCACAAAGGGCACAACGGAGCAAUCAAUUUUUAAAAUAACAGAUACGUCUAGUGUCAUUUCAAUAUACAGGCCCGGCAGGGACGCUCUAAGUUUCGCUUCCUGACACUAUUUUUAAAAUGACGAAUACGUCUAGUGUCAUUCCAAUAUACAGGCCCGACAGAAACGCUCUAAGUUUCGCUUUCUGACACUAUAGCAACCUCUUAUAUAAUCGGUAUUAAUCUUGUAGACCUAUGAGGUGGGGGCUGCCAAUGAAUAACCUUCCUCUCAAUAUUAAUGGUCGGCUGAAAUUCCACCUCUGCUUAGCUUUACUUUACCUUUAUUGCACAUCUUCACAUGCAAUUUAGCAUGACAAGAUGAGAAAGAUGCUCAAUAAAGUUUUACGAAGCUCAUUAAGUCUAAGAUGGAUUCCGUUUCCUUACCAAAGAUCAAACCAUUUCUCAGAUGCUAAACUCUUCGGAACAUGAAAAUAGUUUGCUCGUGCAGACGAAUUUAAUUGAUCCAAUAAAAUAAGAACCAUUCCGGUCAAUAGUUGAAAAUCUCUUCAUGCGGUAAAUUCCACACUUCCUUCAGUGCCAUAUGAAAUGCACGAGCCUUGGGAUAACUCACCAACGUGUGGAAAGUACAUUCAUUUCCAGUACCAUAGAUUGAGCAUGUACCUAGAAUAGUUUGAUGAUGUUUGACCCUGUUGACUUGAACCGCCAGACUAUUAAAAGCAGCUCUUCAGUCAAAAAUUCUAAUUUUUCAAGGAACAUUAGCAUUUCAAAUAUAUUGCAGAGACUUCUAUCCCCAUUUAUGACAUCAUUAGAAUUGCCUAAAUUGAUUGAUCCAGAGCCAGUCUAUAUGCAUUCUUCAUAAAAAAUAAACCAUUAUUUUCAUAGUGUCAAGCAAUAAAAUCUCCCUCACUCAUUCUAAGAGUGUGUAACUUUAGGAUCUUCACUGCAUCAUGGAUAAGAAAUAGAUGUUUUUUAUCCUAUCCCCUAGUCUCAGUCAAAAAUAAGUGUCAUGGUUUUAGUUUAAAUAUAAAUUAAAUUCAUGAAUCCUCUCCGAUCCGAAGUAGAUGUCGUGAAGUAUUAUUCAAACUAGUCAUCAUCGUCACCACCUCGGCGAUGUCGAGGAAAAAACACUUGCAAAAGAGACAAAUAGGUCUCCAUUCCUCUAGCCGCCGUCAAAGGUAAGAUUGGGAAGAGAAAGGGGACAGAGGCGACGGUAUGCAGGGAAGUUAUGGCAUCAUCUCUGUCUCGGGAAGCAUUCUAUCAGGCGAAAUAGAAUCUCAUAUGAGGGAUACAUUUCCUACCAAUUCCUAUCCAACAUCUCAUAUGAGUGAUACAUUUCAUACCAAUUCCUAUUCGACAUCUUUAGCAUAGAGCAUCUAUUGCCGGACAUAGCAAAUAUGACAUUUUAAACGUUCGCGGACGUGCCCGGUCAGUGAUCAGGCAUGUUCGUUUUGAGCCCCUAUUUGUCCGUUCGCGCAGCCACCAUUUUUAUUUUUCUCCUCAUAUGCCUGGUCACUUGCACGUGAUUGACGAAGAUGAAGAAAAAAAAUAAAAAAUAAAAAAAUAAGAGAAAAAGUGGUCCGCAGUGGGGCCACGUCCGCCCGGGCAUGUCUGCGAGCCCUCAUAUCCUUUUUAUAUUUAAUAUGAAUAUGAGAGUUCGCGAACAGCCCAUGAGUGUAUAGGAAUGAUAUAAUGGGUCAGGUUGGGUCAUAUUUUUCUUUCUCUCAUUUGUUCGAUUAGUUCUCUUUUCUUUUAUCCGGUCAGUAACUAGACGCGUCCGUGAACAUAUGAGAGAUGGUUUGAGACGUUCGGCUGUAGAUAUUCUUACAGACGUUUUCAAAACCUCGAUUCUCCUUGGGCCGACCCAUUUAAAGGUACUCAAUGGACCGGUUGCUGGUUUUCCGAAGCCUUCCAGGCCUUUUUCCCUUUUUAUUGGUUUUGUUCCUUUUCCUUUUCUUUUUCUAAAUACUUGAACUUUUUUUGAUUGGUUUUCGUGAACUUUUCUAAAUUUGCAUUUUUUGUAUUUAACGAACAUUUUUAAUUCAUUAACUUGUUUAAAUUUUGUGAUUUUUUUAUUUGUGAAUGUUCUUUUAAAAUUCAUGGGUUUUUUUUAUUUUAUAAAUUUUUUAAUCAAAUAUGUGAACAUUUUUUGUGUUGAAUUUGUUUUGAACCAGUGAACAUUUUCCGAAAUCAAUGAACCUUUUUUAAUUUGUGAUUUUUUUUCAAAUCCAUGAACUAUUUACAAUUUCAUGUACUUUGUCUCAGUUUUUAUGAACUUUUUGAAUUAGUGAACUUUCCUAGAUUCGUGAACAUUUUUAUUUCCUGAACUUUGAAUCCAUGAUUUUUUUUUCAAAUUUUGUAAAAAUAUAUUAAAUAUGUUGACUUUCCAGAUUCCUAAACUUUAAAAAAACACGAACCUUUUUAUUUUCACAUUUUUUUUAAGUCAAUGGUCAACAUAGGCCCUGAUCAAUAGUCAGUUGUGGCCACUCAAUUGAGACCCGAAGAAAUCGAGGGAACCAAAGAAAAAAAACAGAAACCUUUUUCUUUUGAGCCAGCAAUCGAGGAACAAAGCCAGCGCUAGAAACAUUGUGUUUGAGCACGAAAGUACCAUUCUACAUCCAGGAGCAAAUGCUCCUGCUGUGAACAAUAAAAUCAAAAAAAUUUAAAAAAUUCUGAAUUUUUUUAUGACAUACUUUCACGAGUGUUUCUUGUGCAUGAAAAAAUUUAUCACGAAAUCACAUUCAUGGAAGUCGUGCCAAAAAAACAAAAUUAAAGCUCCAAAAUGCUUUUGUAAGUAACAUUUUCAGAGCAUCGAUUUUAUUUUUUUUACCACACCUUUCACCAAUGUGAUUUCGUGAUGAAAUUUUACAUGCACAACAAACAUUUGUAUAAGUAUGCCACACAAAAAAUUCAGAUUUUUUUAACUUUUGUUUGAAUUUUUUUUAUUUCAACCAGGAGCAUUUGCUCCUGGGUGUAGAAACUCCACUUCCGUUUGAGCAGGCCUAUAGGUGUUUGGGAGUGAUCUAUGACCAGGAAAUAUAGAAAAUGAUAUAUACAUGGGCUUAGACUGACAAUCAAUGAUAUAUACAUGCUCAUUGGACUGACAAUCAGGGGCAGGCCCAAGGUUUGAAGGCCGAGUAUUUGAGGGGUGGUGUAUUCAUUUUUGAAACCUAAAGGCCUUGUGUUUGAUGUGUAUAAACUAAAUCAUUAGUUGAGGGUCUUUUGCAAAGGUCACCUCCACCUUCUUCGGUGUUGACAAGUGGCGCACUGCAUGUAAAUCACUUCUCGUAACUUGUGUAAUUUCUUUCUUUCAUAGAUUCAUUUAUUCAAAAUGUUUUAUCUCUCGAUCUGUGUGUUCAAAUUCUGAAUCACCUUCACCGUUGGAUUUCUCACGUUAGGAUCUUAAAAAAUAGGUCUCAUGUUAAUAGGUUCCGACGAACUAUUUUUCACAAAACCCAGAAAUCGGCAAAACCCAAAAGAACCAGUAAGAAAAACAACAUAAGAAACGAAAACCAAAAAAACCGAUUAGCGCAAAAAUAAAAAUACAGGAAAACCAAGCUUAGAAGAACAGUUGUGAUUUUUCAUUUUUUAGGAGCACCAGUUGUGCUUUCUCAUGUUAACGAAAUUAUGCUUCUCUCAAAAGCAUAUAAUGUUUUUACAGAGAAACACAACUAUGCUUGUAUUCUUUUCCGGAGAAACACAAUUGUGCUUCCCGCAAAAGCAAAUCUCGUGAAAGCAUAGAUUUUCUUUUUCUUUUUUGAGAAGCACAAUCUCAGAAGCGAAUAGGUGCUUCUUGGGGAAGCACAUAGUUUUUUCUAAGAAGCAUAGUCACGCUUCUCGCGGAAGCAAAUUUAUGAUUUCAUGAGAAUCAAAUAUAUGCUUUUCUUGCAGUAUAUAUAUAUGAUAGACACAAUUUUACCUCUACAUAUAUAUAUAUACAGUUUGGGACACCUAGUUGUCCAGACUCCUUGCCUUUCAAAUGCUCGAUUGCAUUUAGAUGCGUGUUCACGUAUUACAUUAUAAUUGACUGAUUUGGAAAUAAUUAUGGCAGAAUACCUAUCAUAAAUAUGGCCAUUAGUAGCAUGCAAGACAAUAAUUAUGUAGUAGUAACAAAUAGGAAAGAGAAUGCCACGUAUGGCAACGUUGCAUAUUUGAGAGCUAUUUAUUUGAGAGACACAAAUCCAAAAUUAAUGUGUAUGGAGACAUUUUUCAUACGUGUAUUAGUAAGAGGUAUGUUGUACUCAUCCGUGAAACAUGCUUUUUUUACUUUAGGUAUAUGACAUAUUGAGUAUAUGAUAUUAUGGGUAUACCCAAUGGGACGUUCGGUACGACUCGGUCUUAAUGUUUAUCUAAAUGCCAUAUGCCUUGAAAAUUAAUUCAUUAGAAACAUACAUACGAACAUCCAUUGGGUAUACGAUAUCAUAGGUAUAUCCAAUGUAUACCUAAUAGGUAUGUACGUACAAUUUGAAGAUUACGGUAUAUGAUAAACUAGGUAUACAAAAUAGGAGGUAUGUGUUGGAAAUAUGCCCUAGAGGCAAUAAUAAAAGUAUUAUUAUUAUAUUUCCUUGUUCAUGAUAAUUGUUUUUUAUUCAUGCUAUAAUUGUAUUAUCCGGAAAUCGUAAUACACGUGUGAAUACAUAGACCAUAACAUGUCCCUAGUGAGCCUCUAGUUGACUAGCUCGUUGGUCAACAGAUAGUCAUGGUUUCCUGACUAUGGACAUUAGAUGUCAUUGACAACGGGAUCACAUCAUUAGGAGAAUGAUGUGAUGGACAAGACCCAAUCCAAAGCAUAGCACAAGAUCGUGUAGUUCGUUUUGCUAGAGCUUUUUCAAUGUUAAGUAUCUCUUCCUUAGACCAUGAGAUCGUGUAACUCCCGGAUAUCGUAGGAGUGCUUUGGGUGUACCAAAUGUCACAACGUAACUGGGUGACUAUAAAGGUGCACUACAGGUAUCUCCGAAAGUGUCUGUUCGGUUGACACGGAUCGAGACUGGGAUUUGUCAUUCCGUAUGACGGAGAGGUAUCUUUGGGUCCACUCGGUAAUGCAUCAUCAUAAUGAGCUCAAAGUGACCAAGUGUUUGGUCACGGGAUCAUGCAUUACGGUACGAGUAAAGUGACUUGCCAGUAACGAGACUGAACGAGGUAUUGGGAUACCGACGAUCGAGUCUCGGGCUUGUAACGUACCGAUUGACAAAGGGAAUAGUAUACGGGGUUGCUUGAAUCCUCGACAUCGUGGUUCAUCCAAUGACAUCAUCGAGGAGCAUGUGGGAGCCAACAUGGGUAUCCAGAUCCCGCUGUUGGUUAUUGACCUGAGAGCCGUCUCGGUCAUGUCUGCGUGUCUCCCGAACCCGUAGGGUCUACACACUUAAGGUUCGGUGACGCUAGGGUUAUUAGGAAGACUUGUAUGUGAUUACCGAAUGUUGUUCGGAGUCCCGGAUGAGAUCCCGGACGUUACGAGGAGUUCCGGAAUGGUCCAGAGGUAAAUAUUUAUAUAUGGGAAGCUGCCAUACGGACACCGGAAGGUUUCGGGGGCAUAUCAGUAUUGUACCGGGGCCACCGGAAGGGUUCCGGGGGUCCACCGGGAGGGGCCACCCCUCCCAGGGGGGUCCACAUGGGCUGCGUGGGGCAGGAGCCAGCCCCUGGAGGGCUGGGCCCCCCCCUUGGGCCCAUGCGCCUAGGGUUGGGGGGGACCCUAGAGGGGGCGCCCCCCUUGCUUGGGGGGCAAGUCCCCCCUCCCUGGCCGCCGCCCCCCCUCUAGAUCCCAUCUAGAGGGGCCGGCCCCCCUUGCCCCUUCCCCUAUAAAUAGAGGGGUGAUGGGAGGGCUGGACACCCAAGCCAAGGCACAGCCCCUCCCCUCCCCAACACCUCUCCUUCUCCGUACGUGCUUGGCAAAGCCCUGUCGGAGUACGGCUGCACCAACAACACCACGCCGUCGUGCUGCCGUUGGAGCUGUCUUCCUCAACCUCUCCUUCCUCCUUGCUGGAUCAAGACGGAGGAGACGUCGUCCGUACCGUACGUGUGUUGAACGCGGAGGUGCUGUCCGUUCAGCACUUGGUCAUCGGUGAUCUGAAUCACGGCGAGUACGACUCCAUCAUCAUCAUCCCCUUGAACGCUUCCGCACUCGAUCUACAAGUGGUAUGUAGAUGCAAACUCAUUCCCUUGACUCGUUGCUUAGAUGAACUCAUAGAUGGAUCUUGGUGAAACCGUAGGAAAAAUUUUAAUUUUCUGCAACGUUCCCCAACAGUGGCAUCAUGAGCUAGGUCUAUGCGUAGUUCUCUAUUGCACGAGUAGAACACAAUUUUGUUGUGGGCAUAGAUCUUGUCAACUUGCUUGCCGCCACUAGUCUUAUCUUGCUUCAACGGUAUCGUGGGAUGAAGCGGCCCGGACCAACCUUACACGUACGCUUACGUGAGACCGGUUCCACCGACUGACAUGCACUAGUUGCAUAAGGUGGCUGGCGGGUGUCUGUCUCUCCCACUUUAGUUGAAGCGGAUUCGAUGAAAAGGGUCCUUAUGAAGGGUAAAUAGAAGUUGACAAGAUCACGUUGUGGUUAUUCGUAGGUAAGAAAACGUUCUUGCUAGAACCCAAUUGCAGCCACGUAAAAGAUGCAACAAUAAUUAGAGGACGUCUAACUUGUUUUUGCAGCAAUUGUCAUGUUAUGUGAUAUGGUCAGAAGUUGUGAUGAAUGAUGAAUGAUAUAUUGUGAUGUAUGAGAUCAUGUUCUUGUAAUAGGAAUCACGACUUGCAUGUCGAUGAGUAUGACAACCGACAGGAGCCAUAGGAGUUGUCUUUAUUUUUGUAUGACCUGCGUGUCAUUGAAGAACGCCAUGUAAAUUACUUUACUUUGUUGCUAAACGCGUUAGCCAUAGAAGUAGAAGUAGUCGUUGGCGUGACAACUUCAUGAAGACACGAUGAUGGAGAUCAUGGUGUCAUACCGGUGAUGAAGAUGAUCAUGGAGCCCCGAAGAUGGAGAUCGAAGGAGCUAUAUGAUAUUGGCCAUAUCAUGUCACUAUUAUAUAAUUGCAUGUGAUGUUUAUUAUGUUUAUACAUCUUGUUUACUUAGAACGACGAUAGUAAAUAAGAUGAUCCCUUACAAAAAUUUCAAGAAGUGUUCUCCCCUAACUAUGCACCGUUGCUAAAGUUCGUCGUUUCGAAGCACCACAUGAUGACCGGGUGUGAUAGAUCCUUACGUUCACAUACAACGGGUGUGAGACAGUUUUACACAUGCAAAACACUUAGGGUUAACUUGACGAGCCUAGCAUGUACAGACAUGGCCUCGGAACACGGAGACCGAAAGGUCGAACACAAGUCGUAUGGAAGAUACGAUCAACAUGAGAAUGUUCACCGACGAUGACUAGUCCGUCUCACGUGAUGAUCGGACACGGCCUAGUCGACUCGGAUCGUGUAACACUUAGAUGACUAGAGGGAUGUCUAAUCUGAGUGGGAGUUCAUUAUAUUAAUUUGAUUAGAUGAACUUAAUUAUCAUGAACUUAGUCUAAAACCUUUGCAAAAUAUGUCUUGUAGAUCAAAUGGCCAACGCUCAUGUCAACAUGAACUUCAACGCGUUCCUAUAGAAAACCAAGCUGAAAGAUGAUGGCAACAACUAUUCAGACUAGGUUCGGAACCUGAGGAUCAUCCUCAUAGCUGCCAGGAAACAAUAUGUCCUAAAAGGACCGCUAGGUGACGCUCCCGUCCCAGAGAACCAAGACAUUAUGAAUGCUUGGCAGUCUCGUGCUGAUGAUUACUCCCUCGUUCAGUGCGGCAUGCUUUACAGCUUAGAACCGGGGCUCCAAAAGUGUUUUGAGUAACAUGGAGCAUAUGAGAUGUUCGAGGAGCUGAAACUAGUUUUCCAAGCUCAUGCCCGGGUCGAGAGAUAUGAAGUCUCCGACAAGUUCUAUAGUUGUAAGAUGGAGGAAAAUAGUUCUGUCAGUGAGCACAUACUCAAAAUGUCUGGGUUGCACAACCGCCUGUCCCAGCUGGACAUUAACCUCCCGGAUGAGGCGGUCAUUGACAGAAUCCUUCAGUCGCUCCCACCAAGCUACAAGAGCUUUGUGAUGAACUACAAUAUGCAGGGGAUGGUGAAGACCAUUCCUGAAGUAUUUUUAAUGCUGAAGUCAGCAGAGGUUGAAAUCAAGAAAGAACAUCAAGUGUUGAUGGUCAAUAAGACCACUAAGUUCAAAAAGGGCAAGGGUAAGAAGAACUUCAAGAAGGACGGCAAAGAUGUUGCCGCGCCCGGUAAGCCAGUUGUCGAGAAGAAGUCAAAGAAUGGACCCAAGCCUGAGACUGAGUGCUUUUAUUGCAAGGGGAAGGGUCACUGGAAGCGGAACUGCCCCAAAUACUUAGCGGAUAAGAAGGCCAGCAACACCAAAGGUAUAUUUGAUAUACAUGUAAUUGAUGUGUACCUUACCAGUACUCGUAGUAACUCCUGGGUAUUUGAUACCGGUGCCGUUGCUCAUAUUUGUAACUCACAGCAGGAGCUGCGGAAUAAGUGGAGACUGGCGAAGGACGAGGUGACGAUGCGCGUCGGGAAUGGUUCCAGGGUCGAUGUGAUCGCCGUCGGCACGCUACCUCUACAUUUACCUACGGGAUUAGUUUUGAACCUUAAUAAUUGUUAUUUGGUGCCAAGUUUGAGCAUGAACAUUGUAUCUGGAUCUCGUUUGAUACGAGAUGGCUACUCAUUUAAAUCCGAGAAUAAUGGUUGUUCUAUUUAUAUGAGAGAUAUGUUUUAUGGUCAUGCCCCGAUGGUCAAUGGUUUAUUCUUAAUGAAUCUCGAACGUAGUGUUACACAUAUUCAUAGCGUGAAUACCAAAAGAUGCAAAGUUGAUAACGAUAGUCCCACAUACUUGUGGCACUGCCGCCUUGGUCACAUUGGUGUCAAGCGCAUGAAGAAGCUCCAUGCUGAUGGACUUUUAGAGUCUCUCGAUUAUGAAUCAUUUGACACAUGCGAACCAUGCCUCAUGGGCAAAAUGACCAAGACUCCGUUCUCCGGAACAAUGGAGCGAGCAACCAACUUGUUGGAAAUCAUACAUACCGAUGUGUGCGGUCCAAUGAGCGUUGAGGCUCGCGGAGGAUAUCGUUAUGUUCUCACUCUCACUGAUGACUUGAGUAGAUAUGGGUAUGUCUACUUAAUGAAACACAAGUCUGAGACUUUUGAAAAGUUCAAGGAAUUUCAGAAUGAAGUAGAGAAUCAACGUGACCGAAAGAUAAAAUUCUUACGAUCGGAUCGUGGAGGAGAAUAUUUAAGUCACGCAUUUGGUACACACUUAAGAAAAUGUGGAAUCGUUUCACAACUCACGCCGCCUGGAACACCUCAGCGAAACGGUGUGUCCGAACGUCGUAAUCGCACUCUAUUGGAUAUGGUGCGGUCUAUGAUGUCUCUUACCGAUUUACCGCUAUCAUUUUGGGGAUACGCUCUAGAGACAGCUACAUUCACUUUAAAUAGGGCACCGUCUAAAUCCGUUGAGACGACAUCGUACGAAUUAUGGUUUGGGAAGAAACCUAAGCUGUCGUUUCUAAAAGUUUGGGGAUGCGAUGCUUAUGUCAAGAAACUUCAACCUGAAAAGCUCGAACCCAAGUCAGAAAAAUGCGUCUUCAUAGGAUACCCUAAAGAAACCAUUGGGUAUACCUUCUACUUAAGAUCCAAGGGCAAAAUCUUUGUUGCCAAGAAUGGAUCCUUUCUGGAAAAAGAGUUUCUCUCGAAAGAAGUAAGUGGGAGGAAAGUAGAACUCGAUGAAGUACUACCUCUUGAACGGGAAAGUAGUGCAGCUCAGGAAAAUGUUCCUGUGAUGCCUACACCAACUGAAGAGGAAAAUAAUGAUGAUGAUCAAGGUACUUCGGAUCAAGUUGCUACUAAACUUCGUAGGUCCACAAGGACACGUUCCGCACCAGAGUGGUACGGCAACCCUGUCCUGGAAAUCAUGUUGUUAGACAACGGUGAACCUUCGAACUAUGAAGAAGCGAUGGCGGGCCCAGAUUCCAACAAAUGGCUAGAAGCCAUGAAAUCCGAGAUAGAAUCCAUGUAUGAAAACAAAGUAUGGACUUUGACUGACUUGCCCGAUGAUCGGCGAGCGAUAGAAAACAAAUGGAUCUUUAAGAAGAAGACGGACGCGGAUGGUAAUGUCACCAUCUACAAAGCUCGACUUGUCGCUAAGGGUUAUCGGCAAGUUCAAGGGAUUGACUACCAUGAGACUUACUCUCCCGUAGCGAAGCUUAAGUCCGUCUGAAUCAUGUUAGCAAUUGCCGCGUACUAUGAUUAUGAGAUAUGGCAGAUGGACGUCAAAACGGCAUUCCUUAACGGACAUCUUAAGGAAGAACUAUAUAUGAUGCAGCCGGAGGGUUUUGUCGAUCCUAAGAAUGCUAACAAAGUAUGCAAGCUCCAGCGAUCCAUUUAUGGGCUGGUGCAAGCAUCUCGGAGUUGGAACAUUCGCUUUGAUGAAAUGAUCAAGCGUUUGGGUUUAUGCAGACUUAUGGAGAAGCCUGCGUUUACAAGAAAGUGAGUGGGAGCUCUGUAGCAUUUCUCAUAUUAUAUGUAGAUGACAUACUUUUGAUGGGAAAUGAUAUAGAAUUCUUGGACAGCAUUAAGGCCUACUUGAAUAAGUGUUUUUCAAUGAAGGACCUUGGAAAAGCUGCUUAUAUAUUAGGCAUCAAGAUCUAUAGAGAUAGAUCGAGACGCCUCAUAGGUCUUUCACAAAGCACAUACCUUGAUAAGAUUUUGAAGAAGUUCAAAAUGGAUCAGUCCAAGAAGGGGUUCUUGCCUGUAUUGCAAGGUGUGAGAUUGAGCUCGGCUCAAUGCCCGACCACGGCAAAAGAUAAAGAAGAGAUGAGCGUCAUCCCCUAUGCCUCAGCCAUAGGAUCUAUUAUGUAUGCCAUGCUGUGUACCAGACCUGAUGUAAACCUUGCCGUAAGUUUGGUAGGAAGGUACCAAAGUAAUCCCGGCAAGGAACACUGGACAGCGGUCAAGAAUAUCCUAAAGUACCUGAAAAGGACGAAGGACAUGUUUCUCGUUUAUGGAGGUAACGAAGAGCUCGUCGUAAAGGGUUACGUCGACGCUAGCUUCGACACAGAUCUGGAUGACUCUAAGUCACAAACCGGAUACGUGUAUAUGUUGAAUGAUGGAGCAGUAAGCUGGUGCAGCUGCAAGCAGAGCGUCGUGGCGGGAUCUACAUGGCAGCCUCGGAGGCAGCGCAUGAAGCAAUUUGGGUGAAGGAGUUCAUCACCGAUCUAGGAGUCAUACCCAAUGUGUCGGGGCCGAUCAAACUCUUCUGUGACAACACUGGAGCUAUUGCCCUUGCCAAGGAGCCCAGGUUUCACAAGAAGACCAGGCACAUCAAGCGUCGUUUCAACUCCAUCUGUGAAAAUGUUCAAGAUGGAGACAUAGAUAUUUGCAAAGUGCAUACGGAUCUGAAUGUCGCAGAUCCGUUGACUAAACCUCUCUCACGAGCAAAACAUGAUCAACACCAGAACUCUAUGGGUGUUUGAUUCAUCACAAUGUAACUAGAUUAUUGACUCUAGUGCAAGUGGGAGACUGUUGGAAAUAUGCCCUAGAGGCAAUAAUAAAAGCAUUAUUAUUAUAUUUCCUUGUUCAUGAUAAUUGUCUUUUAUUCAUGCUAUAAUUGUAUUAUGCGGAAAUCGUAAUACACGUGUGAAUACAUAGACCAUAACAUGUCCCUAGUGAGCCUCUAGUUGACUAGCUCGUUGGUCAACAGAUAGUCAUGGUUUCCUGACUAUGGACAUUAGAUGUCAUUGACAACGGGAUCACAUCAUUAGGAGAAUGAUGUGAUGGACAAGACCCAAUCCAAAGCAUAGCACAAGAUCGUGUAGUUCGUUUUGCUAGAGCUUUUUCAAUGUUAAGUAUCUCUUCCUUAGACCAUGAGAUCGUGUAACUCCCGGAUACCGUAGGAGUGCUUUGGGUGUACCAAACGUCACAACGUAACUGGGUGACUAUAAAGGUGCACUACAGGUAUCUCCAAAAGUGUCUGUUGGGUUGACACGGAUCGAGACUGGGAUUUGUCAUUUCGUAUGACGGAGAGGUAUCUCUGGGCCCACUCGGUAAUGCAUCAUCAUAAUGAGCUCAAAGUGACCAAGUGUUUGGUCACGGGAUCAUGCAUUACGGUACGAGUAAAGUGACUUGCCGGUAACGAGACUGAACGAGGUAUUGGGAUACCGACGAUCGAGUCUCGGGCUUGUAACGUACCGAUUGACAAAGGGAAUAGUAUACGGGGUUGCUUGAAUCCUCGACAUCGUGGUUCAUCCGAUGACAUCAUCGAGGAGCAUGUGGGAGCCAACAUGGGUAUCCAGAUCCCGCUGUUGGUUAUUGACCUGAGAGCCGUCUCGGUCAUGUCUGUGUGUCUCCCGAACCCGUAGGGUCUACACACUUAAGGUUCGGUGACGCUAGGGUUAUUAGGAAGACUUGUAUGUGAUUACCGAAUGUUGUUCGGAGUCCCGAAUGAGAUCCCGGACGUCAUGAGGAGUUCUGGAAUGGUCCGGAGGUAAAGAUUUAUAUAUGGGAAGCUGCCAUACGGACACCGGAAGGUUUCGGGGGCAUAUCGGUAUUGUACCGGGGCCACCGGAAGGGUUCCGGGGGUCCACCGGGAGGGGCCACCCCUCCCGGGGGGGCCACAUGGGCUGCGUGGGGCAGGAGCCAGCCCCUGGAGGGCUGGGCGCCCCCCCCCUUGGGCCCAUGCGCCUAGGGUUGGGGGGGGGGACCCUAGAGGGUGUGCCUCCCUUGCUUGGGGGGCAAGUCCCCCCUCCCUGGCCGCCGCCCCCCUCUAGAUCCCAUCUAGAGGGGUCGGCCCCCCUUGCCCCUUCCCCUAUAAAUAGAGGGGUGAGGGGAGGGCUGAACACCCAAGCCAAGGCACAGCCCCUCCCCUCCCCAACACCUCUCCUCCUCCGUACGUGCUUGGCGAAGCCCUGUCGGAGUACUGCUGCACCAACAACACCACGCCGUCAUGCUGCGUUGGAGCUGUCUUCCUCAACCUCUCCUUCCUCCUUGCUGGAUCAAGACGGAGGAGACGUCGUCCGUACCGUACGUGUGUUGAACGCGGAGGUGAUGUCCGUUCAGCACUUGGUCAUCGGUGAUCUGAAUCACGGCGAGUAUGACUCCAUCAUCACCAUCCCCUUGAACGCUUCCGCACUCGAUCUACAAGUGGUAUGUAGAUGCAAACUCACUCCCUUGACUCGUUGCUUAGAUGAACUCAUAGAUGGAUCUUGGUGAAACCGUAGGAAAAAAUUUAAUUUUCUGCAAGUUCCCCAACAGUAUGUUGUAUUUUUAUUGUCGUAGGGUAUAUUAUAGCUUUGGUAUCAUACAUUAGUCAUACAAUAUACUGAAUAUGUAUUAGGAACAUACAUACGAACAAAAUGUAAUAGUUCCAAAAAUAAAUUAUUGAAUAUAUAUACCCACCUGCAAAUACAUAUAAUUUCGUUUGUAGGUAUUAGAUACCCGUAGGAAACGAAAAUACGUGUAUUAGAUAUCCGCAUCAAUUCAAAACAAAUCAACAUUAUUGUAUGGCAAGUCUUGCAUGCCUAAUAUUUAGAAAAUAAAAAUAAAAUGUAAGCAUGGAAAGUCUUGCAUGAAGAAUAAUUGGAAAACAAAUUAAAUAUACCGCACUUUCCAAAACAAUCAAGGUGCCCAGGCACCCAAGUGCCCCAUCUAUUUUACCUAUAUAUAUAUAUAUAUAUAUAUAAAUAUAUAUAUAAAGCAAAGAUAUAAAGUUUCGCCAGAGAGAUUGCAAUCACGGACGCUCAUAUGUGUUGGGAUCUGCUCCCUCACCUUUCCCUCUUUGCAUUUUCCUACUUUUAAGUGACUAGUACAAAUGCCCGUGCGUUGCAACGGACAAAAAAAAUCGCAAAACUUAAUUCGUGUGCAUAACGCGCCAUUUAGUUCUGAUAAACAUCAGUGAUAAGGAUAUAUUGUUACCACUUUUCGGAGCAUGAAUGUGGACGUGAAGAAGCUACCCUAACAUCCUUUAUCCGAUGGAAGAUGGAAGAGUAGUGAUGCAUGUACAUGGAAUAGUCAGUCAAUCGGUUUUAUUUUUUGCUUUUUGGAAAACCAAAUUGUUCCUUUUUUCCUUUCUAUUUAAUUGAAUAUUUAUUUAUUUUAUUACAAUUGGAUCAUGUUUUGAAGCCGAACACUUUUUGAAUACAUGAUUCUUAAAACAAAAUUAUGAUUUUUUUAAUAAUUUUGUGAACAAUUUUAAAUGUAUUUAAAAAAUAUCGGAACAUUCUUUUCAAAAAUUUGAGUAUUUUUUAAAAGCACGAACUUGUUAAAAAUGCGAAUAUCUUUGAAAAUCAAGAACAAUUUGAAACCCUCUUUAUCUUGAAAAAACACACGCUCAGUGUUCGCAAUUAUAAAAAUAGGAUUUGUUGGUGGGAUGAAUACCAUACGCGGUGCCGGAGAGGGCGACUCAACCACGCCAUUGUCCGCCGCGAGGGCUGCUGCCAGCUCUCGUGCUCGCUGCCUCGCACGGCAGGCACAUCGCACCAUACUUGCGUUCACCUCCGCCUUGGUGCGCCAAUGUAGCGGUUGCGCAUCCGCCAGCGCGUUGAGACGCCAGACGGACCGCAACGCCUUUUGUGAGGCAGUGGCAACACACCUCGCGCCGGAUCCAUGCGCCAACGGAUUCCCAGCGGAACGAGUCCAACCAAUGCCGUCGGGCUGCCUCCUCCCAGGAGCAUUGCAGCGCUAGGCGGACGACGAUCUCCUCCUCGGGGCCGCGUGGGAUGAGCUCCUGGUCAACGGAUCCGGGAGGUGUAAGACUGGGAUUCGCUGCCCAUCAUGCCGGAGAUAGUGGGGAGAUCGCUAGACGGGAGCUUGUGGGCGGAGGGAAGUGGAUUUCAGAGGAGGGGAGUGGAAUGCUGCUAGGGUUCGGAGAAGUGCUGAUAGGAUCCAACUUAUGUGGGGCCGGAUGGGCCAGCGUGGCCAAAUCCGACGUGGCAUGCACGUCCUAGCGUCCCAAUGCCCCCCAGAUAUGGGUUGGAUAUGGAGAGUGUCCGUCCGUCCUGGUGUUUGGACCGGAAAUGGGAUGCCCAAUUGGGUGACAUUUUUUGGUCCGAAGACCUGCGGACGGGUAUGAGACGUCUGGCUGUAGAUGGUCUUAUAAUUCCUGUCUUGUUUUUGCACUUUUUGCUUUUCACUCCCCAAACAAGUAUUUCACGAAUUGUAGGCUGCCUAAAAGAAAUAGAAUGUAGGCUCUCUCUCUAAAAAAACACGUGCACUUUGGAGAGACGCACGCACACCUAAAAAACUUUACUCCCCUAAUUUAGCCCGCAUAAACUUGUACGCGGCCGUGGGCAAACGAAAUAUAUUUGUGGAACACUUCAGGCUUGAUAACCCACGAGCAGCCAGCAUAACCACAUAUGGAGAAAUAACAGAGGUAGGAGCCAGUGUGAACCGAGUGCUCAGCGUAGUGUUUUUCCCCGGCCUCCUUCCUCGUACUCUCCGCCUGUCUCUCCCAGCUUCCUCCUUUUCUAUUCCUCCGCUGGCCUCUCGCUCCUCCCCCUCCCUCUCCCUCCCCCUUGCUAGUUAGUAGAUCGCAACCCUAGUGCACGAGGUGCUCGCCGGGGCGUGGAGGCGUCUGCAGCCUAGCUUCUCUGCCCGCUGCUACAUCAUGGGUGUCCUGGUUCUUGGUGUCCACCUCUUCGGUGCUGCAGGUUCUAAAAAUAAUUCCCCCUCCUUAUAAUCCGCUUGGAUCAGCUCUUUUCCCCUCUUCAAUGGCUUCCCGCUGGAGCCGGUGGAUUUGUUUGUCUUCUUUCUGCCUAAAAUAAAUCCCCUGUUACCUCUCUGCUUGAUCUACUCAAAUUUCACCGGUCUGGUCUUGAUUUGGAUUGAGUACGACGCGCUCGGACCCGCUGCGCUCUUGCUCCGUCCUCACGGGAUUCUAGGUGUUACGCCCUGGUCUGCGUUCAAUACUUAUUUAUUCUUGUUUUCUUCACCGGCAACCGGCCUGUUUAUUCAAGGUGUCGUCUGCCGAUUGUGCUUUUUCGCAGGUUUUCAUCUGUUUUCUUCACCGGCUGCUCCCUCUUCCCCUAAGGGUUAUAAUUCGUUCGUUUUAUUCCCUUUGUCUCGGCUUGUUGAUUACCAGCGCCGUGGGCAAACGAAAUAUAUUUGUGGAACACUUCAGGCUUGAUAACCCACGAGCAGCCAGCAUAACCACAUACGGAGAAAUAACAGAGGUAGGAGCUAGUGUGAACCGAGUGCUCAACGUAGUGUUUUUCCCCGGCCUCCUUCCUCGUACUCUCCGCCUGUCUCUCCCAGCUUCCUCCUUUUCUAUUCCUCCGCUGGCCUCUCGCUCCUCCCCUUCCCUCUCCCUCCCCCUUGCUAGUUAGUAGAUCGCAACCCUAGUGCACGAGGUGCUCGCCGGGGCGUGGAGGCGUCUGCAGCCUAGCUUCUCUGCCCGCUGCUACAUCAUGGGUGUCCUGGUUCUUGGUGUCCACCUCUUUGGUGCUGCAGGUUCUAAAAAUAAUUCCCCCUCCUUAUAGUCCGCUUGGAUCAGCUCUUUUCCCCUCUUCAAUGGCUUGCCACUGGAGCCGGUGGAUUUGUUUGUCUUCUUUCUGCCUAAAAUAAAUCCCCUGUUACCUCUCUGCUUGAUCUACUCAAAUUUCACCGGUCUGGUCUUGAUUUGGAUUGAGUACGACGCGCUCGUGACCCGCUGCGCUCUUGCUCCGUCCUCACGGGAUUCUAGGUGUUACGCCCUGGUCUGCGUUCAAUACUUAUUUAUUCUUGUUUUCUUCACCGGCAGCCGGCCUGUUUAUUCAAGGGGUCGUCCGCCGAUUGUGCUUUUUCGCAGGUUUUCAUCUGUUUUCUUCACCGGCUGCUCCCUCUUCCCCUAAGGGUUAUAAUUCAUUCGUUUUAUUCCCUUUGUCUCGGCUUGUUGAUUACCAGCGCCAUGGCCGCCGCCGCCCUUUGCCAUCCGCGCCAGGCCGCCUCCCUCCUCCGCAAAUAUUUGCCAGCUGCCAUUCACACACGCACAUAGAGAGGAGAGAGCUCCGCGCGUCACGCCUCUACUUCCUCCCCGCCGCUGCUGCCCUUUGCCGUCCGCGCCAGAUUACCUCUGGUGCUGCCAUCUCCGUCCCAUGCCUCACUCCACCUCUUCCCGACGCGACCACGACCAUGGGAUCUUGCGGCCUGAUGACGAAAGUGAAGGAAAUAUGCCCUAGAGGCAAUAAUAAAGUUAUUAUUUAUUUCCUCAUAUCAUGAUAAAUGUUUAUUAUUCAUGCUAGAAUUGUAUUAACCGGAAACAUGAUACAUGUGUGAAUACAUAGACAAACAUAUAGUCACUAGUAUGCCUCUACUUGACUAGCUCAUUAAUCAAAGAUGGUUAUGUUUCCUAACCAUUGACAUGUGUUGUCAUUUGAUUAAUGGGAUCACAUCAUUAGGAGAAUGAGGUGAUUGACAUGACCCAUCCCGUUAGCUUAGCACUUGAUCGUUUAAUAUUCUGCUAUUGCUUCCUUCAUGACUUAUACAUGUUCCUGUAACUAUGAGAAUUGUGUAACUCCCGUUUACCGGAGGAACACUUUGGGUACUACCAAACGUCACAACGUAACUGGGUGAUUAUAAAGGAGUACUAUAGGUGUCUCUGAAGGUACAUGUUGAGUUAACAUAAUUCGAGAUUAGGUUUUGUCACUCCGAUUGUCGGAGAGUUAUCUCUGGGCCCUCUCGGCAAUGCUCAUCACCUAAGCCUUGCAAGCAUGUAACUAAUGAGUUAGUUAUAAGAUGAAGUAUUACAGAACGAGUAAAGAGACUUGUCGAUAACGAGACUGAACUAGGUAUUGGAUACCGACAAUCGAAUCUCGGACAAGUAACAUACCGAUGACAAAGGGAACAACGUAUGAUGUUAUGCGGUUUGACCGAUAAAGAUCUUCGUAGAAUAUGUAGGAACCAAUAUGGGCAUCCAGGUCCCGCUAUUGGUUAUUGACCAGAGAUGUGUCUCAGUCAUGUCUACAUCGUUCUCGAACCGUAGGGUCCGCACGCUUAAGGUUUCGAUGACAGUUAUAUUAUGAGUUUAUGUAUUUUGAUGUACCGAAGGUUGUUCGGAGUCCCGGAUAUGAUUACGGACAUGACGAGGAGUUUAGAAAUGGUCGAGACAUAAAGAUUGAUAUAUUGGACGGAUAUAUUUGGACACCGGAAAGGUUCCGGAGAAGUUUGGAGCCCCGGAAGGUUACCGGAACCCCCCGGGAGGUAUAUGGGCCUUAUUGGGCCCAUGUAGGAGGAAGAGAGAAGGAGCAAGGGAAGGGGGCGCGCCCCCCCAAGCCCAAUCCGAAUUGGGGAAGGGGGCCGGCCCCCCCUUUCCUUUCUCCUUCCCCCUCUUCCUAUUACUACUACUAGUACUACUUCCUAA
rnacentral:lncRNA from 1 species